rnacentral:rRNA from 1 species
AUUGAACGCUGGCGGCAGGCCUAACACAUGCAAGUCGAGCGGUAGAGAGAAGCUUGCUUCUCUUGAGAGCGGCGGACGGGUGAGUAAUGCCUAGGAAUCUGCCUGGUAGUGGGGGAUAACGUUCGGAAACGGACGCUAAUACCGCAUACGUCCUACGGGAGAAAGCAGGGGACCUUCGGGCCUUGCGCUAUCAGAUGAGCCUAGGUCGGAUUAGCUAGUUGGUGGGGUAAUGGCUCACCAAGGCGACGAUCCGUAACUGGUCUGAGAGGAUGAUCAGUCACACUGGAACUGAGACACGGUCCAGACUCCUACGGGAGGCAGCAGUGGGGAAUAUUGGACAAUGGGCGAAAGCCUGAUCCAGCCAUGCCGCGUGUGUGAAGAAGGUCUUCGGAUUGUAAAGCACUUUAAGUUGGGAGGAAGGGUAGUAAAUUAAUACUUUGCUGUUUUGACGUUACCGACAGAAUAAGCACCGGCUAACUCUGUG